GUUUUUGCUGUUUGUUUUUGCUACUGGACUUAAAGAGCAUUUCUUAAUGACAGGGGCAGACCAAUCUGUCUUUGCCCGUGAGGGUGAGGAUGUCAUACUGAACUGCUCUGUAGAUUCACAUGUACCAGUCAGUGAGAUAGAGGAAGUGACCUGGAAAAGGACAGUCAGAGACCAAGACAUCAUUGUACUGCUUUAUCAAGACAGUGAGAUCUUCCCAGAUGCUUCACAUGAACUUUACCGAGGAAGAGUCGAUUUAUUUUCAUCUGAAAUCCCUAAAGGAAACUUCUCAUUGAAGCUGAUGGAUGUACAGAAGGAGGAUAAAGGAGAAUUUGUGUGUGAGGUGCAUACUAGGAACGAGUCAGCACGUACCAUUGUGGUUCUGCAAAGCGUAGGUCUCUCUGCAGUCUCUAUAGUUAUUUUGGCCUUCUGCUUGAUUGCACUGAUGCUAGCAGCUGGAUUUUGUGGACCUGUUUUUAACCUCCUGAGAAAAAAGGGUA